rnacentral:misc_RNA from 1 species
AUAAAACCCUUCAUCAGACUUGCCUCUCCUUUGCUAUGAAAUGCAUCCUAACCUACCAUAUCUAUCCAAGAACAUGCUGCUAAGGAUACCUUUUCCCUGAAUCCAUCACUUCUUUGCAGCUUGCUUCGCCCCAACCGAAAAGAACUCCGAGAUGACCUCCAAGGGCAUGCCUUUCGUCUCAGGAACUUUCAAGAAGACAAAAACGAACGCAAACACGCAGACGACUGCAUAGAUACCAAACACGCCAGCCAGCCCAAUCGAGUUCAGCAUCACAGGAAGGGAGUAAGUAACGAUGAUGUCUCCAAACCAGAAUGUGAG